rnacentral:rRNA from 1 species
GACGAACGCUGGCGGUGUGCUCAACACAUGCAAGUCGAACGGUAAGGCCCUUUCGGGGGUACACGAGUGGCGAACGGGUGAGUAACACGUGAGUAACCUGCCCUCAUCUCUGGGAUAACAGUCGGAAACGGUUGCUAAUACUGGAUAUGAGCUUGCAAGGCAUCUUGUGGGUUGGAAAGAUUUUUUUUGGUUGGGGAUGGACUCGCGGCCUAUCAGCUUGUUGGUGAGGUAGUGGCUCACCAAGGCUUCGACGGGUAGCCGGCCUGAGAGGGCGACCGGCCACAUUGGGACUGAGAUACGGCCCAAACUCCUACGGGAGGCAGCAGUGGGGAAUAUUGCACAAUGGACGGAAGUCUGAUGCAGCAACGCCGCGUGCGGGAUGACGGCCUUCGGGUUGUAAACCGCUUUCAAUUGUGACGAAGCUUUUUUGUGACGGUAGCAGUAGAAGAAGCACCGGCUAACUACGUG